GCUUGCUUCAGCAGGGCAUAUACUAAAAUAAUAGCUAUACAAAGAUUAGCAUGGCCCCUGUGCAAGAAUGACACACAAAUUUGUGAAACAUUCCAUAUAUUA
ensembl:snRNA U6 U6 spliceosomal RNA